rnacentral:rRNA from 1 species
AACGAACGCUGGCGGCAUGCCUAACACAUGCAAGUCGAACGAGACCUUCGGGUCUAGUGGCGCACGGGUGCGUAACGCGUGGGAACCUGCCCUUAGGUUCGGAAUAACUCCCCGAAAGGGGUGCUAAUACCGGAUAAUGUCUUCGGACCAAAGAUUUAUCGCGUUUGGAUGGGCCCGCGUUGGAUUAGCUAGUUGGUAGGGUAAAAGCCUACCAAGGCGACGAUCCAUAGCUGGUCUGAGAGGCUGAUCAGCCACACUGGGACUGAGACACGGCCCAGACUCCUACGGGAGGCAGCAGUGGGGAAUAUUGGACAAUGGGCGAAAGCCUGAUCCAGCAAUGCCGCGUGAGUGAUGAAGGCCUUAGGGUUGUAAAGCUCUUUUACCCGGGAUGAUAAUGACGGUACCGGGAGAAUAAGCUCCGGCUAACUCCGUG